GGAACAUUGCCUUCCCUCGAUUCUGAUCUAAACGUGUUUACUCCGAAUAGUCUCCUAUUAGGACGCUCGACAGCCAAGAAUCCUGGAGGAUGGCAACCUUUCACGUACAGCCAGAGUCCGAAGACGAGAUACAGCCUGGUGCAAACAGCCGUAGAAGAUUUCUGGGAAAAGGGGAUACAACUAUACGCCCCCUCUCUAGUUGUCCGUCGCAAAUGGCAUGUCAACACAAGAAAUUUACGUCCCGGUGACGUCGUUAUGAUCGCGGACAAGAAUGUGAUGCGAGGAGAAUACCGUCUCGGAGUUGUUAAAGAAGUCUUUCCUGAUCAGGAUGGAAAAGUCCGUCGAGUUCUGGUAACGUACAAGAACUUUCGUGUUGGAGACCGUCAGCAAGAUUAUGGAAUCAGUGAAGCUGUUACUGUUUCUCGAAGCGUUCAGCGUUUGGCACUACUCGUACCCGUGGAAACAGAAGAUGGAGACAAGGAAGAUGUUUGAAAAACGGAAACAUGGAACAAGGAUUAUUACAGACACGUAUAUUUUACAUUCUGUUGUUUUGUUAAAAGCGGUAUCGUAUCGACCCCAUCCUCCCGGUGUGUUGGUAUGACUUCACACGUUAUUAGAACUUUCGAUACGAUAACAGACUUACAUAAAGUACUGACUGAGAUACGAGGCGAGCCCGCGGUAAAUAGGAC